GUACACAUUGUUCUGGAUACUAGUACUAUUGAGCAAAUUUUCCUUCAGCUACUGGUUUGAGAUAAAGCCUCUCAUAGGACCAACAAAGCAGAUCAUGAAAAUUGGUGUGAAAAGUUAUGACUGGCAUGAGCUUUUCCCAAAAGUACAGAAUAACGCCGGUGCAAUCGUUGCAGUAUGGGCUCCUAUAGUAGUUGU